CAUUGUGUUGUGUCGCCAAAUCAGUGCAAUUGUUCUGCCUCUGCCUUCAGGGACUUGCAGUUUCCCGAAGGGGAUUUAUUUAUUUAUGAUAGACAUAGAGAGAGAGAGAGAGAGGCAGAGACACAGGAGGAGGGAGAAGCAGGCUCCAUGCCGGAAGCCCGACGUGGGACUCGAUCCCGGGACUCCAGGAUUGCGCCCUGGGCCAAAGGCAGGCACUAAACCGCUGAGCCACACAGGGAUCCCCUAGAGAAAAAAAAGUUAUUCAAGGAUUUCAAGCAGAGAACUUAUCUACGUUUUAGAAACAUAACUCUGGGCAGAGUGAAGAAUGGAUUGG